rnacentral:rRNA from 1 species
UAGUCAUACGCUCGUCUCAAAGAUUAAGCCAUGCAUGUGUAAGUAUAAAUAAUUUUACUUUGAAACUGCGAAUGGCUCAUUAUAUCAGUUAUAGUUUAUUAGAAAUAUUUUACUACUUGGAUAACCGUAGUAAUUCUAGGGCUAAUACAUGAGUAAAACCUCAACUUCGGAAGAGGUGUGUUUAUUAGUAUGAAAACCAUAUAUCUUCGGAUAUAAUAGUGAGUAAUAAUAACCUUUCGUAUCGUAUGUCGUAAGAUAACGAUAGUUCUUUCAAGUUUCUGCCCUAUCAGCUUUCGAUGGUAGUAUAUGGGACUACCAUGGCAGUAACGGGUAACGAAGAAUUUGGGUUCGAUUUCGGAGAGGGAGCCUGAGAGAUGGCUACCACAUCCAAGGAAGGCAGCAGGCGCGUAAAUUACCCAAUCCUGACAUAGGGAGGUAGUGACAAUAAAUCACAAUGCGGAACUUUUAGUUUUGCAAU